rnacentral:rRNA from 1 species
UGGCGGACGGGUGAGUAACGCGUGGGAAUCUGCCUCUUACUGGGGGAUAACAGUGGGAAACUACUGCUAAUACCGCAUAAGAUCUUCGGAUGAAAGGUGCAACUGCACCGGUAAGAGAUGAGCCCGCGUCCCAUUAGCUAGUUGGUGAGGUAAAGGCUCACCAAGGCGACGAUGGGUAGCCGGCCUGAGAGGGUGAACGGCCACACUGGGACUGAGACACGGCCCAGACUCCUACGGGAGGCAGCAGUAGGGAAUCUUCCGCAAUGGGCGCAAGCCUGACGGAGCGACGCCGCGUGAGUGAUGAAGGCCUUCGGGUCGUAAAGCUCUGUUCUUGAGGACGAAUAAGCCAGGGAGUGGAAAGCCCUGGUGAUGACUGUACUCAAGGAGAAAGCUCCGGCUAACUACGUGCCAGCAGCCGCGGUAAUACGUAGGGAGCUAGCGUUGUCCGGAAUUACUGGGUGUA